UGGGGAAUAUUGCACAAUGGGCGAAAGCCUGAUGCAGCGACGCCGCGUGAGGGAUGACGGCCUUCGGGUGUAAACCUCUUUCAGCAGGGAAGAAGCGAAAGUGACGGUACCUGCAGAAGAAGCGCCGGCUAACUACGUGCCAGCAGCCGCGGUAAUACGUAGGGCGCAAGCGUUGUCCGGAAUUAUUGGGCGUAAAGAGCUCGUAGGCGGUUAGUCGCGUCUGCUGUGAAAACUCGAGGCUCAACCUCGGGCUUGCAGUGGGUACGGGCUGACUAGAGUGCGGUAGGGGUGACUGGAAUUCCUGGUGUAGCGAUGGAAUGCGCAGAUAUCAGGAGGAACACCGAUGGCGAAGGCAGGUCACUGGGCCGCAACUGACGCUGAGGAGCGAAAGCAUGGAAGCGAACAGGAUUAGAUACCCUGGUAGUCCAUGCCGUAAACGUUGGGCACUAGGUGUGGGUCCAUUCCACGGAUUCCGUGCCGCAGCAAAGCGCUUAAGUGCCCCGCCUGGGGAGUACGGCCGCAAGGCUAAAACUCAAAGGAAUUGACGGGGUCAUAGCUGUUUCCU
rnacentral:rRNA from 1 species